CUUGGUCAUUUAGAGGAAGUAAAAGUCGUAACAAGGUUUCCGUAGGUGAACCUGCGGAAGGAUCAUUAAGAAUUAUAAAUAUUUGUGAAAUUUACACAGCAAACAAUAAUUUUAUAGUCAAAACAAAAAUAAUCAAAACUUUUAACAAUGGAUCUCUUGGUUCUCGUAUCGAUGAAGAACGCAGCGAAACGCGAUAUUUCUUGUGAAUUGCAGAAGUGAAUCAUCAGUUUUUGAACGCACAUUGCACUUUGGGGUAUCCCCCAAAGUAUACUUGUUUGAGCGUUGUUUCUCUCUUGGAAUUGCAUUGCUUUUCUAAAAAAUCGAAUCAAAUUCGUUUGAAAAACAACACUAUUCAACCUCAGAUCAAGUAGGAUUACCCGCUGAACUUAAGCAUAUCAAUAAGCGGAGGAAAAGAAACCAACAGGGAUUGCCUUAGUAACGGCGAGUGAAGCGGCAAAAGCUCAAAUUUGAAAUCGGCCACCAGGUCGAGUUGUAAUUUGUAGAUUGUAUCUUGAGAGCGGAUUAAAGUCUGUUGGAACACAGCGCCUUAGAGGGUGACAGCCCCGUAAAAUCUAUUCUCAUUGUAAGAUACUUUCGAAGAGUCGAGUUGUUUGGGAAU
rnacentral:sRNA from 1 species